AUUGAACGCUGGCGGCAGGCCUAACACAUGCAAGUCGAGCGGAGCGGCGGACGAGGGGGUACUGCCUAGGAAUCUGCCUGGUAGUGGGGGAUAACGUCCGGAAACGGGAGCUAAUAACGCAUACUUGCAGAUGAGCAUAGGUCGGCGUAGAUAGUUGGUGGGGUAAAGGACUACCAAGGCGACGAUCCGUCAGUGGUCUGAGAGGAUGAUCAGUCACACUGGAACUGAGACACGGUCCAGACUCCUACGGGAGGCAGCAGUGGGGAAUAUUGGACAAUGGGCGAAAGCCUGAUCCAGCCAUGCCGCGUGUGUGAAGAAGGUCUUCGGAUUGUAAAGCACUUUAAGUUGGGAGGCGUUACCAACAGAAUAAGCACCGGCUAACUUCGUGCCAGCAGCCGCGGUAAUUC
rnacentral:rRNA from 1 species